rnacentral:lncRNA from 1 species
GGUGAGGUCAGGCCCCUUCCCCCUGAAGCCCUCUGGGUGGCUGCACUGUCCAGCCAGGGCUGGAUCAUCCAGGCCAGAGGGGAAGGCCCUGAUGACGUGACCUUGCCUCUGAAUCCCCAGGUCCCCGUUGUCCUGGAAGAGGAAGGCAGUGGGGGCUUCCCUCAGGAGGAGACCCCCCCUCCGAGAGUCUACUGAGCUCCCUCUCUCUGGUGCCAGGGGCCCCAAAUGCCGGACAGAGAAGGGGUGACCAUGGAAAACCUGGCCCAGAUGCUUGGAGGGAGAGGUGCUCUCCGUCCCCAGCAUAGGGGUGCCAUGGGCGAAUCACCAGGGACUUCUGGGGACCUCGCCAGCGGCUUUCAGGUGAGUUGGGGGCUCUUCCUUAAGCAUCACAGGUCUUUGUGUGGACCUGCACGUGCAAAGAAUCCAAGGCUCAGUCAUUCCUCCCGGAAGUUCGGGGUUGUUUGAUGGGUGACACAGUGUAGACUGAGUGUGAGAAAGAAAGUGUAGACACACAUUACGCCAUUAAUGCUAACAGAAGUCAUUUAUAAAUGGACAAAUUGUAGGUUGUAGAUGCCUUAGUAAGGGGCAGUUUCUGUUUUCAGCAUUAAUUAUUCUAAUUAUCUCCCUAACGUUGAAUUGUCCUUGCAUCACUGGUAUAAAUCUGACUCUAUUAUGAAGGCUGAUUUUGGAGAUAAAUAAUUGGAGCACUUUUGCUAGGAUUUUCUUGAAAAUUUUUAGAUUGAUAUUCAUUAAUGAUAUUAAUGGUUUUUCUUUCUUUGUUUGACUUAGGUUUUAAGAUUUUAUCUGUCUUGUACAAGGAAUUUGGUAGAAUCCAGUCUCAAAUUCUUGUAAAUAGUUUGUGUAAUAUAGGUAUUAAUUAUCCUUUAGUCAGUCAAUAAGCAGUGAUUAAGCACCUCCCUUGUGCCUGGCACUGUAGUAAGUCUGAGAUACAAAAAGAGGCAAAAGACAGUUCUUGCCCUCACAGAGCUUACAGUUUAAUGGGGGAAAUAGCAUGGAAACAGAGCAAAGCAAGCUCUCUACAGAAGAAAAAGGAAAGAGAGCUCAGGAAAGGCACUGAAGCUGAGGAGGUGGGGAAGGCUUCCUCUACAGGGUGGGGUUUUAAUUGAGUUUUCUAUUUGAUGUUCCAUUAAUUUGAGUAUUUUAUUCUUUUGCAAGUAAUCCUCUAUCUUUUUGAGUGCUCAGGAUUUUUUCCAUAUAAAUGUAUGUAGUAGGUUCUCAUUAUUCUUUUCAUUUCUUCUGUUUGUUGUGAUUUACCUUGUUGGUUAUUAAAAAUA